UUUCCGUAGGUGAACCUGCGGAAGGAUCAUUCAUAAUAAGUGUUUUAUGCCACUUUUUUAAAUCCAUAUCCACCUUGUGUGCAAUGUCAGGGUUGGUCUCAUUUGAUCAGCCCCAAACAUCAACUAUUACCUCAACUCUUUGUCUGAAAAAUAUUAUGAAUAAAACAAUUCAAAAUACAACUUUCAACAACGGAUCUCUUGGCUCUC
rnacentral:misc_RNA from 1 species